rnacentral:lncRNA from 1 species
CCAUCUUUCACUUUUGUUUAGUAGUUCUAAGCUCUCUCAAAUCCUCUUUCACAAUUUAUCGGUCUCACUCACUCAUCCCUCCUCUCCUCUCUUCUCUCUCUCUCUCUCUCUCUCUCUCUCUCUCUCUCUCUCUCUCUCUCUCGCACCCACAUCCGCAACGGUCACUGUCACCUCCUCAGAAACCCUAACCCACAUCGGCGACGACGACCGCACCCUCUCACUCUCUGUCACCUCUUUUGACCUGCAUGCCUAGAGAUGGCUUCUCAGGUAGCCAGCUCGGCUUUUCUCCUACGCAUUUGGGUUUUCUUCUCCUUGUUUCAAUUUCAUAUAUGGGUCUGAAUUUUUGGUGCUUGAUGUGAGUUCAAGUCCCUCCAAGUCAAAUUUAGGUGAGAUUGUACAGAAAUUUGUUGAAAUGUAGGUUUAAUUUAAAAUUUUACUCUCUCUGUUUACAGUUAAUAUUUUCAGCUUGUGUAGAGAAUGUUAUUUCAGUGGGAUUAUACAAGCACUUUUUGAACCAAAAUUUUGGGAUUCUGCAACAAAUAUUUCUCAGUUUGUCUUAAGGAAUAUUAUGCUUGAAGCUUGUCCAGUCUACAAUGAUUUUGAAGAUUUUCUUUGGCUUAUUGAAUUUGAUUACUGAGGGGUUUUUAUUUUGACAAAAAACAAUUGAAGAAACACAGUUAUUUGGUGCAAUGGUCUCUUGGUUCAAUGAUCUGAAUUUGUUUUGUUCUGUUUUGGGAUGUGAUUUUUGAAUGAACUACAUAAAUUGAUUAUGUCUUGAGGUGGUGGAGGAUAUCUCCAAAAGUGAUUGUGGAGUUUGUAAGUUUUAUGAGAAUGCCAAUAUUUUAACAUAAGUUUGAUAUUGUAAAGUUGGCAUAUGUUGGAUCUUAGUUUUCUCUAUUUUUCGUAAUUCAAUCUUGGAUCUGUUUUUGGUGCAGUCUAUAGUCCUCAAGGUAGGUAUCAUGCCAAGAUUGUGUUGGUGCCGUGAAAAGGGUUCUUAGAAAACUUGAAGGUUUGACAGCUCUUGCAUUUAUCCAGUUCCAUUGUCUUGCUCUUCUUCUUCUCUGAGAUUGUGCUUCUUUAACUGUUUGAACAAUGCCAAAUGCACUAUUGAUG